GAUGAACGCUGGCGGCGUGCCUAGUACAUGCAAGUCGAGCGAACAGACGAGGAGCUUGCUCCUCUGACGUUAGCGGCGGACGGGUGAGUAACACGUGGAUAACCUACCUAUAAGACUGGGAUAACUUCGGGAAACCGGAGCUAAUACCGGAUAAUAUAUUGAACCGCAUGGUUCAAUAGUGAAAGACGGUUUUGCUGUCACUUAUAGAUGGAUCCGCGCCGCAUUAGCUAGUUGGUAAGGUAACGGCUUACCAAGGCAACGAUGCGUAGCCGACCUGAGGGGGUGAUCGGCCACACUGGAACUGAGACACGGUCCAGACUCCUACGGGAGGCAGCAGUAGGGAAUCUUCCGCAAUGGGCGAAAGCUUGACGGAGCAACGCCGCGUGAGUGAUGAAGGUCUUCGGAUCGUAAAACUCUGUUAUUAGGGAAGAACAAAUGUGUAAGUAACUAUGCACGUCUUGUCGGUACCUAAUCAGAAAGCCACGGCUAACUACGUG
rnacentral:rRNA from 1 species